UACGGGGGGGGUAAGCGUUGUUCGGAAUUAUUGGGCGUAAAGGGCUCGUAGGCGGCCAACUAAGUCAUACGUGAAAUCCCUCAGCUUAACUGGGGAACUGCGUGUGAUACUGGAUGGCUUGGAUUUGGGAGAGGGAUGCGGAAUUCCAGGUGUAGCGGUGAAAUGCGUAGAUAUCGGGAGGAACACCGGUGGCGAAGGCGGCCCCCUGGUUGGAUACUGACGCUGAGACGCGAAAGCGUGGGGAGCAAACAGG
rnacentral:rRNA from 1 species